ensembl:ncRNA C32A9.2 ncRNA
ACUUAUGUGGUCACACCUGAAAUGUCGUCAUUUGUGAUUUUUCUGUACUACACUAGUUUGGAGAAUACUACAAGAGCACUCUUUCAUAAGAGCACU